UGGUUCUCAGCCAGGAGACCACUACGCUCACAUCGUAGGGGUCGCUGGUUCGAGUCCAGCAGCGACCA
rnacentral:tRNA from 1 species